rnacentral:snoRNA from 1 species
AUAUGAUGAUUUCAGAUGACGAGUCUUACUCGGGCUUCCCGAUGCUGAUACUCAUUUUUAAUUCCAUUCAUGCUUCCUGAUA